rnacentral:rRNA from 1 species
UGCGAGUCUUUGUAGUAAUACAAGGCAGACGGCUCAGUAACACGUAGUCAACCUACCCUAUGGACAAGAAUAAUCUCGGGAAACUGGGCAUAAUUCUUGAUAGAUCAUAAUGCCUGGAAUGGUUUAUGGUUAAAAUGAUUCGUCGCCAUAGGAUGGGACUGCGGCCUAUCAGCUUGUUGGUGAGGUAAUGGCCCACCAAGGCGAUUACAGGUACGGGCUCUGAGAGGAGAAGCCCGGAGAUGGGUACUGAGACACGGACCCAGGCCCUAUGGGGCGCAGCAGGCGAGAAAACUUUGCAAUGUGCGAAAGCACGACAAGGUUAAUCCGAGUGAUUUCUGCUAAAGAAAUCUUUUGCCAGUCAUAAAACCACUGGUGAAUAAGGGGUGGGCAAGUUCUGGUGUCAGCCGCCGCGGUAAAACCAGCACCUCAAGUGGUCAGGAUGAUUAUUGGGCCUAAAGCAUCCGUAGCCGGCUUUGUUAGUUUUCGGUUAAAUCCAUGUGCUCAACGCAUGGGCUGCCGAAAAUACUGCAUAGCUAGGGAGUGGGAGAGGUAGACGGUACUCAGUAGGAAGGGGUAAAAUCCUUUGAUCUAUUGAUGACCACCUGUGGCGAAGGCGGUCUACCAGAACACGUUCGACGGUGAGGGAUGAAAGCUGGGGGAGCAAACCGGAUUAGAUACCCGGGUAGUCCCAGCUGUAAACGAUGCAGACUCGAUGAUGCGUUGGCAUAAUAGCCAGUGCAGUGUCGCAGGGAGGCCGUUAAGUCUGCCGCCUG